CCAGAUGGCCGGAUGGCCGCCUUCGACCUUUUAGAUCGGGGGAGGAAAGUCCGGGCUCCACGGAAACACGGUGCCGGCUAACGGCCGGCGGGGGCGACCCUAGGGAAAGUGCCACAGAGAGCAAACCGCCACCGGCCUCGUGCCGGCGGUAAGGGUGAAAGGGUGCGGUAAGAGCGCACCGCGCGCCUGGCAACAGGGGCGGCACGGUAAACCCCACCGGGAGCAAGACCGAAUAGGGGCGGCACGGCCCGCCAUCUCUUAGGAGAUGGUCUGGGGCCAAGCGCGUUUCCGCGCCGCCGCCCGGGUUGGUUGCGUGAGGCGCCGGGCAACCGGCGUCCCAGAUGAAUGGCCAUCCAUCAGGGUAACCUGAGGACAAAACCCGGCUUACAGGCCAUCUGGCGUU
rfam:Azospirillum brasilense Sp245 main chromosome complete genome